rnacentral:siRNA from 1 species
UGACAAUAUGUGGAGAGACCCAU